AGGCAACAGCAGAGGAGGAAACAAAGUGGCAGCCCUGUGCUCUCCGGGGUGGGUGGGGGCAGACGAUGAACGAGGAGACAAGAUGUGCGGAGCAUCCAACGGUGUUGCUACAAGGUGACAUCUCUGCUUCACUAUGUAUGGGCUAUCAUGAGGUUCUGCCUCAUUACAGGCCCAAAAGGACAUGGCCAAGCAACCAUGACCAGAAACCUCUAAAACCAUGAGCAAGAAUGAACAUCUCCUCCAUUGAAGUUCAUCAGAAAGCUGACUAGUGCAUGCCAGGAAGCAAGCAUGUGAGCAGAGAGCAGCUGGAGAGCAGUUGUGGUGUGUAGGGGAGGCUGUCUGGACAGGGUGAUGGCCUGGAGGCAAGAGGAGGCUGGACCUGGGAUGCUGAUAGCCUGGAGGCAGGAGGAGGCUGGACCUGGGAUGCUGAUGGCCUGGAGGCAGGAGGAGGCUGGACCUGGGAUGCUGAUGGCCUGGAGGCAGGAGGAGGCUGGACCUGGGAUGCUGAUGGCCUGGAGGCAGGAGGAGGCUGGACCUGGGAUGCUGAUGGCCUGGAGGCAGGAGGAGGCUGGACCUGGGAUGCUGAUGGCCUGGAGGCAGGAGGAGGCUGGACCUGGGAUGCUGAUGGCCUGGAGGCAGGAGGAGGCUGGAUCUGGGAUGCUGCACUUAAGAAAAAGCCAGCCGGGCUUGCUGAUAGUUCUAUUUCGGAGUCAGAGAAAUGACGUGCUAGCUUUUCACUCAAGCAACUGGGAAGAUGGAGCUGCUAUUCUCUGAGAGCACUGAAUGAAGACACUUUUAAGAGGGAAGUCUGCAACUCUUUUUAGCACAAUCAAGGCCCACACCCUAGAUGUUAAUAUGGGCCCAACAUCUCUCUGCCUGCCUUGUAAAAAGAGAUCAGACAAUUCUUCCCUGGAAGCUGCCUCUGGGAUGCAGCUGGAAGAGCUACAAUGCCUGAACCGAUAGCCAGGAUUCUAGAUUCCAGGAAAAGGGGCCGGCUGCCAGACAGUUCCACAGGAAAGCCUCCCAUGGAUGAUUUAUGGAGGUGUGACUACCACCAUCUGAAGAGCUGUGUAUAAGACCCUAUGCAAAAAAGCAAGAAAGGAGAUGCGAUUCUGAUCUUCCAUGAUGUCCAUCUCAGUUAGGGACUCAGGAGCACCAAAAUGGCUGAAACAGACGAGAGUAAGCAUCAACCAUGUGAGUGGUCCUGAACAGGGCAUGAACAAACAGAACGGAGAGAGAGCCAACUCAUAGUGCAAUGAUCAAAUGGGUUUGUGUUCAUCCAUCCACCUAUGCAUCCAUCCGUCUAUCCAGCCACCCCACCCACCCAUCCAUCUACCCAUCCACCCACCCAUCUAUGCAUCCAUCCAUCUAUCCAGCCACUCCAUCAAUCUAUGCAUCCAUCCAUCUAUCCAGCCACUCCAUCAGUCUAUGCAUCCAUCCAUCUAUCCAGCCACUCCACCCAUCCAUCCAUCUACCCAUCUACCCACCCACUCAUCUCUGCAUCCAUCCGUCUCUCCAGCCACUCCACCCAUCCAUCCAUCUACCCAUCUAUCCACCCACCACCCAUCCAUCUAUCCAAGCACUCAGGGUUUGUUGAAAGCCUAACAAAAUUAUACCUAUGCUGUUUAGGCACCGGAGAGACCAGAAAGAAUGCUGGAGAAUAGGGUACCCAGUACUCGAAAGUCCUUGAGUGAACCACUUCAAUUAAAUCCUUAUAAGAACUUGUAAA